GGUUAAGCGACUAAGCGUACACGGUGGAUGCCCUGGCAGUCAGAGGCGAUGAAGGACGUGCUAAUCUGCGAAAAGCGUCGGUAAGGUGAUAUGAACCGUUAUAACCGGCGAUGUCCGAAUGGGGAAACCCAGUGUGAUUCGUCACACUAUCGUUAACUGAAUACAUAGGUUAACGAGGCGAACCGGGGGAACUGAAACAUCUAAGUACCCCGAGGAAAAGAAAUCAACCGAGAUUCCCCCAGUAGCGGCGAGCGAACGGGGAGCAGCCCAGAGUCUGAAUCAGCUUGUGUGUUAGUGGAACGGUCUGGAAAGUCCGACGGUACAGGGUGAUAGUCCCGUACACCAAAAUGCACAGGUUGUGAACUCGAAGAGUAGGGCGGGACACGUGGUAUCCUGUCUGAAUAUGGGGGACCAUCCUCCAAGGCUAAAUACUCCUGACUGACCGAUAGUGAACCAGUACCGUGAGGGAAAGGCGAAAAGAACCCCGGCGAGGGGAGUGAAAAAGAACCUGAAACCGUGUACGUACAAGCAGUGGGAGCACCUUCGGGUGUGACUGCGUACCUUUUGUAUAAUGGGUCAGCGACUUAUAUUCUGUAGCAAGGUUAACCGUAUAGGGGAGCCGCAGGGAAACCGAGUCUUAACUGGGCGUUAAGUUGCAGGGUAUAGACCCGAAACCCGGUGAUCUAGCCAUGGGCAGGUUGAAGGUUGGGUAACACUAACUGGAGGACCGAACCGACUAAUGUUGAAAAAUUAGCGGAUGACUUGUGGCUGGGGGUGAAAGGCCAAUCAAACCGGGAGAUAGCUGGUUCUCCCCGAAAGCUAUUUAGGUAGCGCCUCGUGAACUCAUCUUCGGGGGUAGAGCACUGUUUCGGCUAGGGGGUCAUCCCGACUUACCAACCCGAUGCAAACUACGAAUACCGAAGAAUGUUAUCACGGGAGACACACGGCGGGUGCUAACGUCCGUCGUGAAGAGGGAAACAACCCAGACCGCCAGCUAAGGUCCCAAAGUCAUGGUUAAGUGGGAAACGAUGUGGGAAGGCACAGACAGCCAGGAUGUUGGCUUAGAAGCAGUCAUCAUUUAAAGAAAGCGUAAUAGCUCACUGGUCGAGUCGGCCUGCGCGGAAGAUGUAACGGGGCUAAACCAUGCACCGAAGCUGCGGCAGCGACACUAUGUGUUGUUGGGUAGGGGAGCGUUCUGUAAGCCUGCGAAGGUGACCUGUGAGGGUUGCUGGAGGUAUCAGAAGUGCGAAUGCUGACAUAAGUAACGAUAAAGCGGGUGAAAAGCCCGCUCGCCGGAAGACCAAGGGUUCCUGUCCAACGUUAAUCGGGGCAGGGUGAGUCGACCCCUAAGGCGAGGCCGAAAGGCGUAGUCGAUGGGAAACAGGUUAAUAUUCCUGUACUUGGUGUUACUGCGAAGGGGGGACGGAGAAGGCUAUGUUAGCCGGGCGACGGUUGUCCCGGUUUAAGCAUGUAGGCUGAUUAUCCAGGCAAAUCCGGAUAAUCAAGGCUGAGGUGUGAUGACGAGGCACUACGGUGCUGAAGUAACAAAUGCCCUGCUUCCAGGAAAAGCCUCUAAGCAUCAGGUAACAUUAAAUCGUACCCCAAACCGACACAGGUGGUCAGGUAGAGAAUACCAAGGCGCUUGAGAGAACUCGGGUGAAGGAACUAGGCAAAAUGGUGCCGUAACUUCGGGAGAAGGCACGCUGGUGUGUAGGUGAAGUCCCUGCGGAUGGAGCUGAGACCAGUCGAAGAUACCAGCUGGCUGCAACUGUUUAUUAAAAACACAGCACUGUGCAAACACGAAAGUGGACGUAUACGGUGUGACGCCUGCCCGGUGCCGGAAGGUUAAUUGAUGGGGUUAUCCGUAAGGAGAAGCUCUUGAUCGAAGCCCCGGUAAACGGCGGCCGUAACUAUAACGGUCCUAAGGUAGCGAAAUUCCUUGUCGGGUAAGUUCCGACCUGCACGAAUGGCGUAAUGAUGGCCAGGCUGUCUCCACCCGAGACUCAGUGAAAUUGAACUCGCUGUGAAGAUGCAGUGUACCCGCGGCAAGACGGAAAGACCCCGUGAACCUUUACUAUAGCUUGACACUGAACAUUGAGCCUUGAUGUGUAGGAUAGGUGGGAGGCUUUGAAGCGUGGACGCCAGUCUGCGUGGAGCCAACCUUGAAAUACCACCCUUUAAUGUUUGAUGUUCUAACGUUGGCCCCUGACCGGGGUUGCGGACAGUGUCUGGUGGGUAGUUUGACUGGGGCGGUCUCCUCCCAAAGCGUAACGGAGGAGCACGAAGGUUAGCUAAUCCUGGUCGGACAUCAGGAGGUUAGUGCAAUGGCAUAAGCUAGCUUGACUGCGAGCGUGACGGCGCGAGCAGGUGCGAAAGCAGGUCAUAGUGAUCCGGUGGUUCUGAAUGGAAGGGCCAUCGCUCAACGGAUAAAAGGUACUCCGGGGAUAACAGGCUGAUACCGCCCAAGAGUUCAUAUCGACGGCGGUGUUUGGCACCUCGAUGUCGGCUCAUCACAUCCUGGGGCUGAAGUAGGUCCCAAGGGUAUGGCUGUUCGCCAUUUAAAGUGGUACGCGAGCUGGGUUUAGAACGUCGUGAGACAGUUCGGUCCCUAUCUGCCGUGGACGCUGGAGAAUUGAGGGGGGCUGCUCCUAGUACGAGAGGACCGGAGUGGACGCAUCACUGGUGUUCGGGUUGUCAUGCCAAUGGCACUGCCCGGUAGCUAAAUGCGGAAGAGAUAAGUGCUGAAAGCAUCUAAGCACGAAACUUGCCCCGAGAUGAGUUCUCCCUGAGACUUUAAGUCUCCUGAAGGAACGUUAAAGACGAUGACGUUGAUAGGCCGGGUGUGUAAGCGCAGCGAUGCGUUGAGCUAACCGGUACUAAUGAACCGUGAGGCUUAACCUU
rnacentral:rRNA from 1 species